CGUCGUGGAAACUGGGUCUAAUACCGGAUAGGACCAUGCUUUAGUGUGUGUGGUGGAAAGUUUUUUCGGUGUAGGAUGAGCCCGCGGCCUAUCAGCUUGUUGGUGGGGUAAUGGCCUACCAAGGCGGCGACGGGUAGCCGGACUGAGAGGUUGGUCGGCCACAUUGGGACUGAGAUACGGCCCAG
rnacentral:rRNA from 1 species